rnacentral:lncRNA from 1 species
CCAUGGUAGUUGAGGAAGAAAAGAUUGAGGGUUUGUCUGAGAAGGAACCCUCUGCCAGUUCAAUCCCACGGGGUGAGUCAAAAGGGCCUGAUGCUGAAGCCAACAACAUAGUUGAUGCUGAGGGUGGUGGGAACAUGCAGCAAACUGUUCCACAAGAUUUGGGACUACCUUUGUCUUCUUCGGAUGUUGAGGAAGAAAAGAUUGAGGGUUUUUCAAAACCUGUUGGCAGCGAGAAGGAAUCCAUUGCCAGUGCAGUGCCGCUGGAUGAGUCAAAGGGGCCUGAUGCAGAAGUUAGCAGCCAAACAGCUAUUGAGGGUGGUGGGGUCGUGUCCAUACCUGUUCCAGAAGAGGCGGAUGGACCUGCAUCCUUCUUGGCAGCUGAAGAAGAAAAGAAUGAGUGUU